GUUUUUAUAGCUUAACCCCUAAAGCAGAGCUCUGAAAAGGCUAAGAUGGAUCUCAAUUCCUUUAAACA
rnacentral:tRNA from 1 species